rnacentral:rRNA from 1 species
AACGAACGCUGGCGGCAUGCCUAACACAUGCAAGUCGAACGAGACCUUCGGGUCUAGUGGCGCACGGGUGCGUAACGCGUGGGAACCUGCCCUUAGGUUCGGAAUAACUCCCCGAAAGGGGUGCUAAUACCGGAUAAUGUCUUCGGACCAAAGAUUUAUCGCCUUUGGAUGGGCCCGCGUUGGAUUAGCUAGUUGGUAGGGUAAAAGCCUACCAAGGCGACGAUCCAUAGCUGGUCUGAGAGGAUGAUCAGCCACACUGGGACUGAGACACGGCCCAGACUCCUACGGGAGGGAGCAGUGGGGGAUAUUGGACAAUGGGCGAAGGCCUGAUCCAGCAAUGCCGCGUGAGUGAUGAAGGCCUUAGGGUUGUAAAGCUCUUUUACCCGGGAUGAUAAUGACAGUACCGGGAGAAUAAGCUCCGGCUAACUCCGUG